GUGCUAUAGCUCAGUUGGUAGAGCAAAGGACUGAAAAUCCUUGUGUCCCCGGUUCGAAUCCUGGUAGCAC
rnacentral:tRNA from 1 species